UCACAAGUUGUAGUCGAGAGUUGAAAGC
rnacentral:sRNA from 1 species